rnacentral:lncRNA from 1 species
GAGCAGCUCACAGCACUUGCCAUCAUCCCUUUGAUCCUUCAGGCACAGUUUAUUUUGCUACCGAGCUUUACAAUAUUUCUUCAGUGUUGCUGAAAUUCAAAGCUGGCCUCUGGAGUCAGACUUCCUGGGUUAAAAUCCCAGAUCUACUAUUUAGAAUGAGUGGCAGAGAAGAGCAGAAGAGAGAGCCUCCAAGACUCAACUACAGUCCCCAAAGUCAAUCAGCAUAAGCAUUGGCAAGGAUGUGGAACAACACGAACUCUUGCUGGGAGACACAGGAUUGGGAAAACCAUUUUCGAAAACAAUUUGGCAUUAUGUAAAAUUGUUGGAGUCUUUUCUGACUACCAACCAGCAAUUCUAUUCUGAUAUUUACUCUUACUAAAUAAAGUCUAGACUUGCACUGUCCAACAUGGUGGUUAUUAGCCAGCACAGGCUGGAGUGCAGUGGCGUGAUCUUGGCUUACUGCAACCUCUGCCUCCUGGGUUCAAGUGAUUCUCCUGUCUCAGCCUCCUGAGU